rnacentral:rRNA from 1 species
ACGGAAGGCAGCAGUGAGGAAUAUUGGUCAAUGGACGGAAGUCUGAACCAGCCAAGUCGCGUGAAGGAUGAAGGUUCUAUGGAUUGUAAACUUCUUUUGCCCGAGGGUAAAGUGGCCUACGUGUAGGUUAUUGCAAGUAUCGGGUGAAUAAGCAUCGGCUAACUCCGUGCCAGCAGCCGCGGUAAUACGGAGGAUGCGAGCGUUAUCCGGAUUUAUUGGGUUUAAAGGGUGCGUAGGCGGAAUAUUAAGUCAGUGGUUAAACCGUGCGGCUCAACCGUACGCUGCCGUUGAAACUGGUGUUCUUGAGUGUAAACGAGGUAGGCGGAAUAUGACAUGUAGCGGUGAAAUGCUUAGAUAUGUCAUAGAACUCCGAUUGCGAAGGCAGCUUACCAGCAUACAACUGACGCUGAGGCACGAAAGCGUGGGUAUCAAACAGGAUUAGAUACCCUGGUA